rnacentral:lncRNA from 1 species
GCAAGCCUAGUAAAAAACCCCGAAUAGAGAAAUCUUUAUUCAUUAAAGCAAGAGCGUUUAUUAGAUCGUCCAAAGAAGGUACAUCGUUUGUUAUUUAUGCGGCUCCAACUACCGAGAAGAAGCUCUCGACAACAUGUAUACUGAAGCAAUAUAAGGAUUUUAAAGACGUGUUUCAAAAGAAGAAUGCCGACAUACUACCGGAACACCGACCAUAUGAUUGCGCCAUAGACUUGCAGGAAGGAGCACAACCGCCUUUUG